rnacentral:rRNA from 1 species
AGCAGCCGCGGUAAUUCCAGCUCCAAUAGCGUAUAUUAAAGUUGUUGCAGUUAAAAAGCUCGUAGUUGAAUUUCGGGGUUAGUAGGUUGGUCAUGCCUCUGGUAUGUACUGGUCUCACUGAUUCCUCCUUCCUGAUGAGCCGUAAUGCCAUUAAUUUGGUGUUGCGGGGAAUUUGGACUGUUACUUUGAAAAAAUUAGAGUGUUUAAAGCAAGCUAACGCUUGGAUACAUUAGCAUGGAAUAAUGAAAUAGGACGUUCGAUCCUAUUUUGUUGGUUUCUAGGAUUGACGUAAUGAUUAAUAGGGAUAGUUGGGGGCAUUAGUAUUCAAUUGUCAGAGGUGAAAUUCUUGGAUUUAUUGAAGACUAACUACUGCGAAAGCAUUUGCCAAGGAUGUUUUCAUUAAUCAAGAACGAAAGUUAGGGGAUCGAAGACGAUCAGAUACCGUCGUAGUCUUAACCAUAAACUAUGCCGACUAGGGAUCGGAUGAUGUUAAUUUUUUAAUGACUCAUUCGGCGCCUUACG